rnacentral:rRNA from 1 species
CAAAUCCGGGAAUCUCUAUGCCGAGCACCGAGACGAGUCCUAUGAGGACGAAGUGACUGAGACCACGCUUCCAGGAAAAGCCACUAAGCUUCAGCUGUAGAAAAACCGUACCGCAAACCGACACUGGUAGGCAGGGUGAGAAUCCCAAGGCGCUUGAGAGAACUCGGGUGAAGGAACUAGGCAAAAUGGCACCGUAACUUCGGGAGAAGGUGCGCCCUUUGGUGUGGUCACGUGCGUGACUGAGCAUCGAAGGGUCGCAGUAACCUGGCCGCUGCGACUGUUUAUCAAAAACACAGCACUCUGCAAACACGAAAGUGGACGUAUAGGGUGUGACGCCUGCCCGGUGCUGGAAGGUUAAUUGAUGGGGUCAGCCGCAAGGCGAAGCUCUUGAUCGAAGCCCCAGUAAACGGCGGCCGUAACUAUAACGGUCCUAAGGUAGCGAAAUUCCUUGUCGGGUAAGUUCCGACCUGCACGAAUGGCGUAACGACAGCGGCGCUGUCUCCACCCGAGACUCAGUGAAAUUGAAAUCGCUGUGAAGAUGCAGCGUUCCCGCGGCAAGACGGAAAGACCCCGUGAACCUUUACUAUAGCUUUACAUUGAACGUUGAGUUCUUCUGUGUAGGAUAGGUGGGAGGCUAUGAAACCGAGACGCUAGUUUCGGUGGAGCCAUCCUUGAAAUACCACCCUGAAGUGCUUGACGUUCUAACCUAGGUCCGUAAUCCGGAUCGGGGACCAUGUAUGGUGGGUAGUUUGACUGGGGCGGUCUCCUCCCAAAGAGUAACGGAGGAGCACGAAGGUACGCUCAGCGCGGUCGGACAUCGCGCACUGUGUGCAAAGGCAUAAGCGUGCUUGACUGCGAGAUCGACGGAUCAAGCAGGUACGAAAGUAGGUCUUAGUGAUCCGGUGGUUCUGUAUGGAAGGGCCAUCGCUCAACGGAUAAAAGGUACUCCGGGGAUAACAGGCUGAUACCGCCCAAGAGUUCAUAUCGACGGCGGUGUUUGGCACCUCGAUGUCGGCUCAUCACAUCCUGGGGCUGUAGCCGGUCCCAAGGGUAUGGCUGUUCGCCAUUUAAAGUGGUACGCGAGCUGGGUUCAGAACGUCGUGAGACAGUUCGGUCCCUAUCUGUCGUGGGCGUUGGAGAUUUGAGGGGGGCUGCUCCUAGUACGAGAGGACCGGAGUGGACGUUCCGCUGGUGUUCGGGUUGUCAUGCCCAUGGCAUUGCCCGGUAGCUACGAACGGAAGUGAUAACCGCUGAAAGCAUCUAAGCGGGAAGCACGCCCCAAGAUGAGAUCUCCCGAGAGCUAGACUCUCCUUAAGGCACCAUCAAGACUAGGUGGUUGAUAGGCGCGGUGUGGAAGUGCAGCAAUGCAUUGAGCUUACGCGUACUAAUGAGCCGUGAGGCUUGACC